rnacentral:rRNA from 1 species
UACGUAGGCAGCGAGCGUUGUUCGGAGUUACUGGGCGUAAAGGGUGUGUAGGCGGCUUUAUAAGUUUGGUGUGAGAUCUCCCGGCUCAACCGGGAGGGUGCGCCGAAAACUGGGAGACUAGAGUGCGGGAUGGGAGAGUAGAAUUCCUGGUGUAGCGGUGGAAUGCGUAGAGAUCCGGAAGAACACCAGGGGCGAAGGCGGCCCGAUGGGCAGUGGCUGACGCUGAAGCGCGACAGCGUGGGGAGCAAACAGG